rnacentral:tRNA from 1 species
GGGUCCGUAGCUUUGAGGUUACGCUUUCGCUUCAUAUGCGGAAGGUCAUGGGUUCGAUUCCCAGCCCAUCCA